rnacentral:rRNA from 1 species
UAGGGAAUCUUCGGCAAUGGACGAAAGUCUGACCGAGCAACGCCGCGUGAGUGAAGAAGGUUUUCGGAUCGUAAAACUCUGUUGUUAGAGAAGAACAAGGACGUUAGUAACUGAACGUCCCCUGACGGUAUCUAACCAGAAAGCCACGGCUAACUACGUGCCAGCAGCCGCGGUAAUACGUAGGUGGCAAGCGUUGUCCGGAUUUAUUGGGCGUAAAGCGAGCGCAGGCGGUUUCUUAAGUCUGAUGUGAAAGCCCCCGGCUCAACCGGGGAGGGUCAUUGGAAACUGGGCGACUUGAGUGCAGAAGAGGAGAGUGGAAUUCCAUGUGUAGCGGUGAACUGCGUAGAUAUAUGGAGGAACACCAGUGGCGAAGGCGGCUCUCUGGUCUGUAACUGACGCUGAGGCUCGAAAGCGUGGGGAGCAAACAGG